CACGGGGGGAGCAAGCGUUGUUCGGAAUCACUGGGCGUAAAGGGCGUGCAGGCGGUCAGGUAAGUGGGAUGUGAAAUGCCCCGGCUCACCCGGGGACCGGCAUCUCAUACUGCUUGGCUUGAGUACGGGAGAGGAUGUGGGAAUUCCUGGUGUAGCGGUGAAAUGCGUAGAUAUCAGGAGGAACACCGGUGGCGAAGGCGCACAUCUGGCCCGAUACUGACGCUGAGGCGCGAAAGCGUGGGGAGCGAACAGG
rnacentral:rRNA from 1 species